rnacentral:lncRNA from 1 species
AUGUGUAUGCAAAACAGUGUACAUAUAUAAGAUUGGAGUAGUAGAGGUUCAGAUCAGUUGAGAGGGAGGCUUCAGAGUAUAUUAUUCAAGCAACAGAAGUACAAUGAAUAAUAAAUAGGUUUUAGGAGUUCCGUCGUGGCUCAGCAGUAUCCAUGAGGAUGUGGGUUCGAUCCCUGGUCUCAUUCAGUGGGUUAAGGAUCCAGCAUUGCCCUGAGCUGUGGUGUGGGUUGAAUCGGAGCUGUAGCUGCCAGCCUACGCCAGAGCCACAGCAACGCGGGACCCGAGCCGCGUCUGCGACCUACACCACAGCUCACGGCAACGCCGGAUCGAUAACCCACUGAGCAAGGGCAGGGACCGAACCCGCAACCUCAUGGUUCCUAGUCGGGUUUGUUAACCACUGCGCCACGAUGGGAACUCCAGAGAGAAAGUCUUUUAAAUUAUAACCCAAGAUUUGGUUUGGGAGAGAAAAAUUAGGGAAGGAACUUUUAACUUAAUCCAGAAUCAUUUGUGAGUCUGACCAGAUGAUACUGAGAAGCUUGAAUCUUUUUUUUAGCGCUCAUUGCUGCUUUUAUUGGAUUGAUGAUGGUUUUCUGAGCACCUAUAGUUUUAUAAUUGUUAGCAGGAAAGAAGUGCCUCUUGUGAUGUUAUGUACAAGGUGGGUUAUGAAGAAAGCCAUAGUCUUUUAUAUACCAUAUACUUUCCUCUCAUUAUCACGUAUUCUAGUUGACUCUGUCUAAAAAUUAUGAGAAAAAAAAAUAGAGGACCUUGUGAGGUCAGUGGAUGAUGAUCAGCAUUUAGAACCAUAAGACAAGAUUUGGACACGGCCCCUUGAAUACGCUUGCUUUCCAAGUAUGAUGGCUGUUUUGAAAGUCAUCAGUGAGUAUCCACAUGCCCAGUAAAAAAAAAAAAAAAAAAA